rnacentral:rRNA from 1 species
UACGUAGGGGGCAAGCGUUGUCCGGAAUCAUUGGGCGUAAAGCGCGUGUAGGCGGCCUUGUAAGUCCGUUCUGAAAGCCCGGGGCUCAACCCCGGGAGGCGGAUGGAUACUGCAAGGCUCGAGUACGGAAGAGGCGAGUGGAAUUCCCGGUGUAGCGGUGAAAUGCGCAGAUAUCGGGAGGAACACCAAUGGCGAAGGCAGCGCGCUGGGACGUUACUGACGCUGAGACGCGAAAGCGUGGGGAGCAAACAGG